CACAAGGACACGCUGGUAAAGAGCCGUCCAACGAGGAGGAACCUCGGCACCUGGAAGAGGCCGCGGCUCCUUUCCACUUCAAACCUCUUAUGGUAGUUCUUCUUUUUCCAACCAGCAGCUGAGUACAGUCAGACCAGAGAUACUCCUCAGCACCUUUUCUACAGACGAGUCGAAGCAGCAACAGACGGACGCACACCACGAGAGAGAACGCUCUCACGAGCAAUGAGUGGGAAGCCCUGGAAUAAACCGCCGGUUUCAAUCAAGCCCAUCCAGAUUCACCAUGUCUGUGUGGAAGGAGUUUACCGCCUUAGCUGUCAAUCACCGCGGCCCCGCCCAGAGCACACAGGCAAGGUGUGAUGAAGUCCCGCCCACAUUGCAGGGGAAAAUGACACAUCGCUCUCCGUUGGCGUCUGCUGGUCGAAGAAAAAAGGUCAAAAAGCUGCCGUGUGGCGAUUCUUGGUCUGCUGGCGAAGCCUCUGGACCCCCAGAAGAUCUGGACCAGAUUCCUGUCGGUCACAGGUAUCACUUGACUGGCAACCCGGAAACCCGGAAGAGUUUGACGGCAGAUUUGGAAAUGCUAAUCGGCCAUCUGUUGAUCGCCGGCAGCGGAUCAAGACCCUUUCUUCACUUCUGGUGGCUGCGCU
ensembl:lncRNA